UCAAACGAGGCAAACCGGGGAAACUGAAACAUCUCAGUACCCCGAGGAAAAGAAAUCAACCGAGAUUCCCCCAGUAGCGGCGAGCGAACGGGGAGCAGCCCAGAGUCAACAUCAAUAUUUACCGCAGGAGAAGGGUCUGGAAAGGCCGGCAAUAAAGGGUGAUCGCCCCGUAUCUGAAGCGGUAAGUGUUGUGAACUCGAAGAGUAGGGCGGGACACGUGUUAUCCUGUCUGAAUAUGGCGGGACCCAUCCUCCAAGGCUAAAUACUCCUGACUGACCGAUAGUGAACCAGUACCGUGAGGGACAGGCGAAAAGAACCCCGGCGAGGGAGUGAAAUAGAACCUAAAACCGUGUACGUACAAGCAGUGGGAGCACCCGAAAGGGUGUGACUGCGUACCCUUUUGUAUAAUGGGUCAGCGACUUAUAUUCUGUAGCAAGGUAACCGCAUAGGAAGCCGUAGGGAAACCGAGUCUUAACUGGGCGUCAGUUGCAGGGUAUAGACCGAAACCGGUGAUCAGCAUGGGCAGCUGAAGGUGGUAAACCUAACUGGAAGAACAA
rnacentral:rRNA from 1 species